GUUUGACCUCGGAUCAGGUAGGGUUACCCGCUGAACUUAAGCAUAUCAAU
rnacentral:rRNA from 2 species